rnacentral:tRNA from 1 species
GCCGAGGUAUCCAAGCGGCUACGGAGACGGUCUCGAAAACCGUUGCCUCUUAUGGCUCAUGGGUUCAAAUCCCAUCCUCGGCGCCA